UUUUUGGUUCUUGUGACUCUUCUUUUCUGUAUGCAGAUAGUUGUUAAAAUUUGAUGUUCCUGCAGGGGGAACAAAUAGUAUAUAGGCUUCUAUUUUGCUGUCUUGGUCUACCCCACCUGCACAAUUUCUGUCCUGAACAUUAGUAUUGCUAUGCAUUUUGGGCCCUGUGCAGAAAUUUUGGAAAGCAAGCCUUAUUCCUGGUAAAUUGGAAAAUAUUAAUCAAUUUUUAUUUCUCCUAUUCCAAGGGGGAUAUCUGAGGGAAAAGAAGGGCAUUGGUAGGGAUUUUCUUUUUCUCUGAAUUUUUCUAUGUCCUUUUCUAGGUAUUUUCUGUGUUCUUUUCACAAUCUCAUGAAGAAAUAUCAGCUCACCUGACUAAGGACCCUUGUUGAAAAUAACUAAUCUUCAGAGUCUCAUUUUGUCACCCCAGCUGGAGUGCAGUAACACAAACACAACUCACUGCAGCCUUGACCUCCUGGGCUCAAGCAAUCCUUCUGCCUCAGCCUCCCAAGUAGCUGGGACUACAGGAUUGAAAGAGAAAACUGGAAAGAUUGAUGGACUUAUGCUAACACAAUCAAGCCUAAAAACCAGAACAGUUGUGACAAGGUUGAAGUUCAUUCAUCAGAAGUGUAUGAGAUGGAAGUAUUCACCUCUAUAAUUAUUUUGCUCACCUUAAUAAUGAUGACUGACCAAUUAGGCUGGUCAUUGACAUUCAUUAUAAAGAUGGCCAUAACAGAUGUUAUCAGCUCCACUGAAGUAAUUUAAAGAAAAAACAGCAUAGGACUGUAAGUUAGGAUGCCUAGGUUUAGUCUUCUGCCAAAGAGAAGGCAUGUGAUUUAAGGUUAAUCACUCAGCCUUUCUGAGCCCAUUUCCACUUCUGUGAAAUUAUGGUUUGGAGUAAAUGACUUUCAUAUUUCUUA